GGUCGAGCUACCGAAACCCUAGAACCUCUCUUCCUCCGGUUGUAAGUUCAAAACAGCGAGGUAGAAGGUAGUGAUUAUGGAGUCGCAUGGUGUGUCUUGUCUGCCGAUCCCUCAUCACAUCAAAAGAUGGUCUUUACUUCAGCCUUGUUUUCUUACAUGUUUUUAUUAUGAUAUUGGCAUUGUAUUGGUGUUUAGCCUUGUGGCUACUUUAUCGUUUUGGUAAUUUGUUGUGUUUAAGCCAUGUCGACACGCAUUGUAUCUUUUUAGUUUGUAUGAGCCUUCCUUUCAUUUUCACUGUGUUUUUAGUACAACCGUGUGGGCUAUUUAUUAUAUAACUAUGUGGUUGUGAUCAUUUUGUUCCA